AGUGAACGCUGGCGGCGUGCUUAACACAUGCAAGUCGAACGCGAAAGUGUAGCAAUACACAAGUAGAGUGGCGAACGGGUGAGUAAUAUGUGGGUAAUCUAGCUUCUAGAGGGGGAUAACCCGGCGAAAGCUGGGCUAAAACCGGGGGCUAACAUUUUGGAGUUUACGGACUUUAAAAUCAAAACAUGGCCUCUGUUUACAAGCUAUGGCUAGGAGAUGAGCCCACAUCCUAUCACGCUGUUGGUGGGGUAACGGCCCACCAAGGCGACGACGGGUAGCCGGCCUGAGAGGGUGUCCGGCCACACUGGAACUGAGACACGGUCCAGACUCCUACGGGAGGCAGCAGUGGGGAAUCUUGCGUAAUGGGCGAAAGCCUGACGCAGCGACGCCGCGUGAGGGAUGACGGCCUGGUGUAACU
rnacentral:rRNA from 1 species